rnacentral:rRNA from 1 species
CCAAUAGCGUAUAUUAAAGUUGUUGCAGUUAAAAAGCUCGUAGUUGAACUUCGGGGUUUACCCAUUGGUCAGGCUUAAUUGUCUGCACUGGUGAGAUGAAUCUCUACCUUCUGAGGAACUUUCAUGCCAUUUAUUUGGUGUGAUUGGAAAUCAGGACUGUUACUUUGAAAAAAUUAGAGUGUUUAAAGCAGGCUAACGUCUGAAUACAUUAGCAUGGAAUAAUGAAAUAGGACGGACUGAUUCUAUUUCGUUGGUUUCUAGGAUCACCGUAAUGAUUAAUAGGGAUAGUUGGGGGCAUUAGUAUUCAAUUGUCAGAGGUGAAAUUCUUGGAUUUAUUGAAGACUAACUACUGCGAAAGCAUUUGUCAAGGAUGUUUUCAUUAAUCAAGAACGAAAGUUAGGGGAUCGAAGACGAUCAGAUACCGUCGUAGUCUUAACCAUAAACUAUGCCGACUAGGGAUCGGACGAAGUUAAUUUUAUAAUGACGCGUUCGGCACCUUACG